AUCCAGCUCACGAGUUUCAAAUAAGACGAAACGCGCGUUCUGGAU
rnacentral:hammerhead_ribozyme from 1 species